AUCUGCAUGUUUCGUAUUGGUUCAGUCUAAGAAUUCUAAUUUAUUUUGCUCACGCGUUAUAAUAGUCGUUAAACCUUUCGCAGUCACCUCAAACGCGGAACAAAACGUAACACACAUCAGUCCGGUUUUGUUUCUUCAUUCUUCAGUGACGAAUUCAUCGUUUACUCUCAUUUUUACCUGUCCAAGAUCGAGAUGAAAUUGUCGGUUCUUGUUGUUUGUGCAUUGUUCUUCAUUUGUGCCAUCGAUUGUUUGCCUUUGGAAGGAAAUAACGAGGCUAGUAGUGAUGCCAAAUCUGCAUUUGGAGUGGCUUUCGAUGAGAUUGUUGUUGACACCUCCCUCGUGGUGAAGAGAAAGAAUCCAAAUCGCCAAUCCAGGAACCAGAAUGCGCCGAAUCGACCUGUUGAAGCAUCAGUUGUGUCGGAGAAGAACAGAGGACAGUAAUCAAAAUCAAUCGAAAACUGUUGUUGAGUAUAAGAUAUGAAUAAAUUUAAUGAGAGUUUA